GAUGAAGAACGUAGUGAAAUGCGAUAAGUAAUGUGAAUUGCAGAAUUCAGUGAAUCAUCGAAUCUUUGAACGCACAUUGCGCCCUUUGGCAUUCCGAGGGGCAUGCCCGUUCGAGCGUCAUUACACCACUCAAGCCUGGCUUGGUAUUGGGCGUCGGGACACCCCCCGCGCCCCCAAAUCGUCGGCUGGACGGUCGGAAUCUCAGCGUUGUGGCAAUCAAUUCGCUGGCGAGGACGACCGGACGCGCCGUUAAACCCUCAUCACAGGUUGACCUCGGAUCGGGUAGGGAUACCCGCUGAACUUAAGCAUAUCAAUAAGCGGAGGA
rnacentral:misc_RNA from 1 species